UCCUUGAUAGUAUAGUGGUUAGUAUACCGGCUUGUCAACUGCUUCUGUACAGGAGUAAGGCAAUCCGCCGGUGACCGGGGUUCAAUUCCCCGUCAAGGAG